GACGAACGCUGGCGGCGUGCUUAACACAUGCAAGUCGAACGGAAAGGCCCUGCUUUUGUGGGGUGCUCGAGUGGCGAACGGGUGAGUAACACGUGAGUAACCUGCCCUUGACUUUGGGAUAACUUCAGGAAACUGGGGCUAAUACCGGAUAGGAGCUCCUGCUGCAUGGUGGGGGUUGGAAAGUUUCGGCGGUUGGGGAUGGACUCGCGGCUUAUCAGCUUGUUGGUGGGGUAGUGGCUUACCAAGGCUUUGACGGGUAGCCGGCCUGAGAGGGUGACCGGCCACAUUAGGACUGAGAGACGGACCAGACUCCUACGGGAGGCAGCAGUGGAGAAUAUGGCACAAUGGGCGGAAGCCUGAGGCAGCAACGCCGCGUGCGGGAUGACGGCCUUCGGGUGGUAAACCGCUUUCGCCUGUGACGAAGCGUGAGUGACGGUAAUGGGUAAAGAAGCACCGGCUAACUACGUG
rnacentral:rRNA from 1 species